rnacentral:rRNA from 1 species
UACGUAGGCAGCAAGCGUUGUUCGGAAUUACUGGGCGUAAAGAGUGUGUAGGCGGUGCUCUAAGUUCGGUGUGAAAUCUCCCGGCUCAACUGGGAGGGUGCGCCGAAAACUGGAGUGCUGGAGCGCGGGAGAGGAAAGCGGAAUUCCUGGUGUAGCGGUGAAAUGCGUAGAUAUCGGGAAGAACACCCGUGGCGAAGGCGGCUCUCUGGGACGGUACUGACGCUGAGACGCGAAAGCGUGGGGAGCGAACAGG